rnacentral:rRNA from 1 species
GGGCCGCACGCGCGCUACACUGACACACGCAGCGAGUCUUCCUUGUCCGAAAGGUCCGGGUAAUCUUGUAAAUGUGUGUCGUGAUAGGGAUAGAUUAUUGCAAUUAUUAAUCUUGAACGAGGAAUUCCUAGUAAAUGCGAGUCAUCAGCUCGCGUUGAUUACGUCCCUGCCCUUUGUACACACCGCCCGUCGCACCUACCGAUUGAAUGAUUCGGUGAAACUUUCGGACCGAAGACAGGACGCCUCACGGCGACUUGACUAUGGGAAGUUAUUUAAACCUCAUCAUUUAGAGGAAGGUGAAGUCGUAACAAGGUUUCCGUAGGUGAACCUGCGGAAGGAUC